rfam:Vibrio coralliilyticus strain 58 chromosome I, complete sequence.
GCAAUCUCGGAGGUGAGUCGCAAAAAGACAUUCUGGGGGAUACGCGUAGUGAGCAUUCAGGCUGAGUGAACACUCCGUAGGGUAGGUAUCGGCAAGUCCUUUUGUCGAUAGACGGGAUACUGUUGUCGCUGUAGCGGCAUGUUUAUGGGAAACCCAACA